rnacentral:piRNA from 1 species
UGAUUUCGAAUACUGCACGCAUGAUAG